AAUUUGUCGAUCCUAUAUAUAAUAGUCUUACCUUGCUUUAGUAAUAAUCACCCAAAGAGGACAAAAAUAAAAUAUCAAAGUUGGAUAAUAUCAACUUUGUACCUGCAAGGUAAAAUGGCUACACAACUUUAAAACGGAACCGCGUGGAGCUGAAGUAUAACACUAAUGUAGGACCAACAUAUAUUCUAAUGCUUAGGUCCAAUGUAAUCUUUAUCUUUACCUAACAGUAAAGCGUUUAUGGCUUCUGCCCGCACACCCGUCAUGGCACUUUUGCAAAAAGGCCCUUAUCUUUUCCGGAAAUUAAACCCGCAGUCCAAAUUGAACCGGUACGAAGGGGAAAAAACACUGCCACGCUCUGCCUCGCGCGUUCCGCCCCGCCCAACCCACCUCUGCCACGCACGGCCCGCGCACCGUCGGCUGCCUUUUGCUUCCCAAUCCCAUCUCCUCCUCACCCUGGGCUUUCUUCGCUGUUCACAGCUCCCCUCCACCUACUGGUCGCGACCUCGAGACGAGCGGGCUCGAUUAAGGGGAUUGGAGGGUGGCGCCGGCGGGCUCGCAGACGGGGAUGGAGAGGGCAGGUGCCGUCAAGAUCGAGGCCGACAAUGGAGAGGGCGGGGAUCGGCAAGCUGGAGGCUGGGGAUGGGAAGAGGCGCCGUUGCCGGCGGCCACGAGUGGAGGAGGGCACCCAGACCGACAGGUUGAUGGAGCGGGGUGGAUCAGUUGCGCCCAUUCCCGGAGCUGCCCGGUCCUGGCCGCGUGCGUUUCGUCGGUCUGCUCUCGAUGGAAUUGGUGUCCGCUCUCGAUGGAAUUGGUACCUUGAUAGGGUACGACAGAAAAAACUCUCCUUCGACUUCUAUGGAAACUCUGCUCCAAAACGGAACCUGACAGCCUACAACAAAAAAACUCUGGUUCUGAGGCACCCUAUAAAAGGUUUCGAAUCCCUUGAUCGCAACCGAAACCCCAGAUUGAAAUUGCCUCGCAAGUCUAUGUUCACACUGGAGCCAGCUGUACCAGCCAGCUUCAGCUCCUUCCACCAGGUCACGGCCCACCAUGAGCCAAACUCCAUCGCCAGGCAAGCUCCUAUGUCCCAUGUCAUCUCUUCUGUUUUCUAUGCAAUGAGCAAUGUAAUUAAUGGAUGAUGAGUUGAGGACUAAUUAAUUGAUGACGUAUGGACAAGAAUGGUUUGGUGAUGCAUGGACUGGUAUGGAUGAAUGGGAAACUGCAGCGAAAUCUGAAUCGGACCCUGUAUAUUUUUUGGUUCCUUUGUGUUUGUCUGAAUCUGUAAACUCAACUACUUGCAUGUUGUAUUCAGACUUCAGAGUUGGAUUGGUGUUGCUGCUGACCAGUUUCCAUGGCCCGGCCAGAUGGCAGAUGCAAACAAGGUAAAUCUAUGUUCGAAUUACUCACGCAUACGUGCUCCAAGUAACAGUAAUUACUUCUUUAGGCAAUCUCUGUUGAUUUAUUUAUGAUUGUUGUCAUGAUCAUCUUCCUCCGAUAUAACAGUCUUAUACCAAGAUACAUUAAUUAAGAUUUCCUUCUGGUUGUGGUGUUCAAAAGCAUAGAUAUCUAGCAAUUUAUUUUGCACUGUGGUGUGCUACAGACCAUUAGGUUAUUACAGCCAGUAGUAGAGCAAAUGGUCAGUGUCCUUUGUGCGCAAAAUUAUCAUCUAGCAAUCUUCUUUGCAUUGUUGUGUGUUACAUACUGAAGCAUUCUUAGUUGGAUCAGCACGUACAACUCGAUGGUCUCCACAUCCGACAGGGUGUGUCACUGUCGAGUACCUAGGGCAGUUCUUCAGUACUAUUUGUUUUUGUCAAAAGUUCAGAAUUGUUAAUGUAUUACUAGGUGAAUUGCUACCUACUUUCUUCAUACGAUUAAAUAUGCUGACUCCUGCUUUCUAUUGAGCGUGAGGUUGACAAUACUUAUUACAGUUUCCAUGCUGAGUGCAGAACAUUGUUUGUUUUAUGUUAUUUAUUAUAGUUACUUUUUUUAGAUUUCUAUGCCUAAGAGCUAUUAUCAGUAAUUGAUUUUUCUGGCAAGGGAAUGUUGAGAUGAUAGCUUGAGCCUCCGUGGCCACAUUUUGAAAAUUUGAAAAUUAUAUUUUUAAAAGUGGUAAACUACACACCGACCAGCAAAUACAUAUCACAACUGUAUCUGUUUGAUUCAUUUAGCUGUAUUAUUGUUUUGUUUGUGGAAACUGUCCUUUUCUCCAUUGGCAGACUUCGUACUUGGACCUUUGUUAAAAGACGGCGUAAGGGCGAGUUGUGGGGAUAUUGACGGCAAUAUCUGCAAGCAGAAAACUACUUCAUUCACCUACACUUGAACUGGAAUUGCUAAUUAGAAAAUAUGCAUUUCAUGUGUCAUUUUUCGAUUGGGCUAAAUUAUGUUAAUUUUCAUCCGCUUCCCCCUCUCCGACCCCAUCCCACGAGGAGUAAGAUUCUGAGGAUGGAGGAUCUUUCUGCAACGUUCCUGAACUCAUCAAACAUGAUCGGUGUUCCGCUUCAAUCUAACCAACAUGGUUAAUGGCAACUAAUGUGUUGUGCUAGGAAUUUGUGCUAUUUUUUUUACCUCCCAUUGCAACGAAAAGGGGCAUGCUUACAUUUUACAGUGGAAAAAUAGGUUUUAUUAGGCAAGUGGAAAAAUAGAUGUCUAUAGUAGCUUUAGCUGGUACAGGUAUUUGCA